UUAUUGCGUGAGGGAUGGCAAUGGAAAUCCUUUUUGUUUUUUCGCGCCGGGAAAGGUGUGGAAAAAACAAAAAGAUUGCAAUGAAGAGCCCGACCCGCG
rnacentral:sRNA from 1 species